GUUUUGUGCAACUUAUUUACAUUUAAGGAACUUUAAGGGAGAAGAUAAGGGGGAAAUGUACCUGUGGUGUUUCAUGCAACUGGGCCCUGAUCCUCUGGAAGGAGCAUCAUGAGUCAUCAUCCAACCCCUCCUGGACAAUGGCUACACCCCCAUGUUUACUCAGUGCCCUCUCCACCUCUGUCAUACCCACAGCACGGUGGCGCUCUGGAAGUCUUGUCUACUCGUCUAAGCGUGGCCUCGCUUGGCUGCUUGUCGCCCACACACUCUCGAGAGCUCUUCACUAGGGAUCCGACCGACGCCGCAGUCCAAGCACACAGCCAAACUGAGGAUUCCAUAGAUUCGUCUGUGUUGUGUGUUAUGGUGUCCAUCGGGACACACUGGGAGAGCACUGAGGGUCAGAGGUCGACGAUCACUCUUCCCCAUCCCCCACCCCGGCUAUAGUGUGAGUCUUUAACGGCAGCCCCAUCUUCCCCUGGCUGGGAGAUGGAAGCUGGGCUGGCCAGGACAGGAGCCAGGUGGUCUGGAUCCCUCCUGUGAGUGGCUUGAGUGGCUGCCUUUCCAAGAGCCCCGGGAGCACAGCUGCUUGUCCCAUUGCUCUUCACAAGAGCAGGGGAUUAAAUGGAGAAGAGAGAGAAUGAGGGACAGAGAGAGAGAGAGAGAGAAAGUGUAAGAAGUAGAAAUUGAAAAACUGGAAAUCUAAGGGAGAGGGUAAAUAGUAGGCCAAUGCCACACAGACGUGCACCAGGUUUGUGAGAAUGGAUGGGUUUCACAAAAUAGCAUUUUUGAAAUUUGAGUUGAAAUAUGAAUUCAAAUAGGAACAUAACAUACAUUUUCACCUCAGCUCAAUUGUGGUAUGAGCACCCUUUACCUGGUAUAAAAGGUUUUCUUAUAGUGAGGAAGUAACUCCAGAAAAACCUGGGCCAAAUGUACUAGUUUUCCUACAGCUUCAAUGCUAGGAACUCUAAUGAUAAUACGUAAGGAGUCACACAAGGGACAACACAUAGAGGGGAAUGGCCCUGACAACAACAACAAAAAGGAUCUUAGGAUGCAAUUAACCACAUAGAGGUCAGAGUCUAUUUGCCAAGGGUUCUAUUGGGAGAUCCUCCAUAUAACAUAAGAACUAAAAUCAUUACAGCCUAUAGACAUCAUGAGUGUUAAUGAUGUCUCUCACAGGAGGGAUAAACUGUCGGGAACUGUUCUGCCAGGUGGGUGGAAAUCCACUGUAACUGUCUUUUCACACCAUAAUGACGGUGUCUCCUUAACACAAAAGAGAACACACAACGUGAUUAGUCUCAUAAUAUCAAUGCCUCAUUUCAAAUACUGCAUUUUUCCUGAGGGCAAUCUUCUUCGGUUAUCUGGGACAGGGAUAUGGGUGAUUUAGAUGAAAAUGCAAUCACUCUCCUGAGUGUUUAUGUGGUUUGCUAAAUGAAUUGUGACGUGCACUUCUAAAGAAUUGGCCAGAGAAAAUCAAUUUAAUUGAGAUACCAACACUGCAAAGUGCCACUUAUCUUUAUACUCGCUGUUGGACACUUUGUGGCUGUGCUUUUUAUUACAGUGUAUUAGAUCAAGCGGCAGAAAGUCAUAUUACACCUGAAUAACCUGACUGAAAUAGUGAUAAUAUCCAUCAUAUUACAUAUUACAUUAUAUUCAACAUGAUAGAAUUAUUAUAUCAUCAGCAUAUACAGUUGUACUAUGCUCAUAAGGCAUUUAUAAGGUAUAUUCUUCAAGAAUCAAUGGGUAUAUCCUACCCUGAACAAAAAUAUAAACACAACAUGUAAAGUAUUGAUCCCAUGUUUCAUGAGCUGAAAUAGAAAAAGCACAAAAAGCUCAUUUCUCACUAAUUUUGUGCACAAAUUUGUUUAUAUCGUUGUUAGUGAGCAUUUCUCCUUUGCCAAGAUAAUCCAUCCACCUGACAGGUGUGGCAUAUCAAGAAGCUGAUUAAACAGCAUAGCCAUUGCACAGGUGCACCUUGUGUUGGGGACAAUAAAAGGCCACUCUAAAAUGUGCAGUUUUGUCACACAACACAGAUGUCUAAAGUUUUGACGGAGUGUGCAAUUGGCAUGCUGACUGCAGGAAUGUACACCAGUGCUGUUGCCAGAGAAUAUGAAUGUGCAUUCCCUUACCAUAAGCUGCCUCCAACAUCAUUCUUAUGCCCUACAAGGCCCACCCAUGCCUGCACCCCUGCCCAGUCACGUGGAAUCCAUAGAUUAGGGCCUAAUGAAUUUAUUUCAAUUGACUGAUUUCUUUAUAUGAAACGUAACUCAGUAAAAUCUUUGAAAUUGUUGAAUGUUGCUUUUAUAUUUAUGUUCAGUGUACAUAUCAUUACCACAGAACAGAAGUACAUCUUACAGACUGUUCUCAUGCUCCUCACAGUACGUUAUGGGCUAAUGGCUCAGCUGUGUGAGGCUGUAGUGUACAACCGUCACAUUACACCCUGCAUCUGCAAACUCUAAAUUGGCCAGAAUGAUACAAUGACUCACAUCAAAGGCACAAUCACAGUUCAUUUGAAGUGCAUGCACAAUGCACCAGGGCAAGGAUCAGCCAUGUCCAGCGAAGUGGUCUUCUUCCCAGAAUAUAAACAUCUUCCUUGUUCUUGGUGGAUGUCUUUGCAUAUUCAUGCCUUUCCAAGUGGCCCUUUAAUUAUAGACUGCAGAUUCAUAUUCAUUGGAUCUUUUGUUUUGUACAGAUGUUUUCUAGCCACAUGUGCAGGAAUACGAAUGGGUAAAUAUUUCACCACAGUAGCUCUCAAUUUGUUUUGGCAAUAGGGGAAAGAAUCACAAUAGAACAUAUUUAUACAGUAUAUACACACAUAUACGUUUAUAUUUGUUAUAAUAUAAACCAUUUAUUGGCUUAACAAGGACAUUGAAGAAGGUGGUAUAGAAUGCAUUAAAUAUCCACAUUCCCUAUCAAACCAGUAUUGAUGCUUUGCCUCAAGGUGUCAAAAAAUGUAAAAACAAACAAACAUAGGCUAUCAAAAGAGCUGUUGUACAUUUGUGCUGGGAUGUCUGGUAUCCAGCAUCUAGGAGAGAGAUAAAUGGAGAAAUACACAGAACUGGAAAAGGGUCUAUACAUAUCUAAAUGGGUCUAUGCAUAUUGAUGUGUGUGCUCUCUAGGUGAUUGGACCUGAUAGUGUCAUAGAAACACCUGAGAAAGAUGGCCUUGUGAUAGGCUAUAUAGCUACAGUAUAGGCGUAUAUAGGCUAUAGGCCUAUCGUCAUCAUUAUCGUCAUUGCUACAACUCGUCUAGCAGUUUACUAGGCUAUUUGGUGAUUGCUGGUGCAAUUCAAAUACAACAUCCUAUAACAUACAUUUUUCUUGAGAUCACAGGUGGACCAGGUGGAUGACAUUGUUUUAUAUGGAUGAAUAACAAAUGGGUCGUUCCACUAUUCCUGUGCCUUUUGAGAAGUGUAACUUGGUAAAAAAAAAUAUCUGCAGUAAGUGACUUUUAAGUGCUAAAUAAAUUAACUGGGUUGACCGUCACAAGUUAAGGUUAAGUUUAGGCAUUAACUCAGACUUCUUACGGUUAGAGUUAAGGUUUGGGAUAGGCUAAAAACAAAAAUAUAAACAAAUAAAAAUAAACUACUUUCUAUCGCUGGAUUCCAACAUGCAACCUUUGGAAUCAGAGGAUCCUUACUCCUGUCCGUCAUCCCCGAUCCACAACGCCCU
ensembl:lncRNA